GCCUGGGUGGCUUAAUCGGUUAAGCAUCCGACUUCGGCUCAGGUCGUGAUCUUGUGGUUAGUGGGUUUGAGCCCCACGUCAGGCU
rnacentral:tRNA from 1 species